rnacentral:rRNA from 1 species
AACGAACGCUGGCGGCAGGCCUAACACAUGCAAGUCGAGCGAGGACUUCGGUCCUAGCGGCGGACGGGUGAGUAACGCGUGGGAACGUGCCCUUUGCUUCGGAAUAGCCCUGGUAAACGGGGGGUAAUACCGGAUGAGCCCUUUGGGGGAAAGAUUUAUCGGGGAAGGAUCGGCCCGCGUUGGAUUAGGUAGUUGGGGGGGUAAUGGCCUACCAAGCCGACGAUCCAUAGCUGGUUUGAGAGGAUGAUCAGCCACACUGGGACUGAGACACGGCCCAGACUCCUACGGGAGGCAGCAGUGGGGAAUCUUAGACAAUGGGGGAAACCCUGAUCUAGCCAUGCCGCGUGAGCGAUGAAGGCCUUAGGGUUGUAAAGCUCUUUCAGCUGGGAAGAUAAUGACGGUACCAGCAGAAGAAGCCCCGGCUAACUCCGUG